AUUGAACGCUGGCGGCAUGCCUUACACAUGCAAGUCGAACGGUAACAGGUCUUCGGAUGCUGACGAGUGGCGAACGGGUGAGUAAUACAUCGGGACGUGCCUAGUAGCGGGGGAUAACUACUCGAAAGAGUGGCUAAUACCGCAUGAGAUCUACGGAUGAAAGCAGGGGAUCGCAAGACCUUGUGCUACUAGAGCGGCCGAUGGCAGAUUAGGUAGUUGGUGGGAUAAAAGCUUACCAAGCCGACGAUCUGUAGCUGGUCUGAGAGGACGAUCAGCCACACUGGGACUGAGACACGGCCCAGACUCCUACGGGAGGCAGCAGUGGGGAAUUUUGGACAAUGGGCGCAAGCCUGAUCCAGCAAUGCCGCGUGCAGGAUGAAGGCCUUCGGGUUGUAAACUGCUUUUGUACGGAACGAAAAGCCCUGGGUUAAUACCCUGGGGUCAUGACGGUACCGUAAGAAUAAGCACCGGCUAACUACGUGCCAGCAGCCGCAGUAACAC
rnacentral:rRNA from 1 species